rnacentral:rRNA from 1 species
GAUCAUGGCUCAGGACAAACGCUGGCGGCGUGCCUAAUACAUGCAAGUCGAAACGAGAAUCUCUGGCUUGCCAGAGAGGAAAGUGGCGGACGGGUGAGUAAUAUGUAGGAAAUCUGCCCUCAAGAGGGGGACAACAGUUGGAAACGACUGCUAAUACCCCAUAUGAGCUUAGUUGAAAUACUAAUCUUGAAAUGAUUUUUCGCUUGAGGAUGAGCCUGCAUCUGAUUAGCUUGUUGGUGGUGUGAUGGACUACCAAGGCGACGAUCAGUAGCUGGUUUGAGAGGAUGAUCAGCCACGAUGGGACUGAGACACGGCCCAUACUCCUACGGGAGGCAGCAGUAGGGAAUUUUGCGCAAUGGGCGAAAGCCUGACGCAGCCAACGCCGCGUGAGUGAUGAAGCCCCUCGGGGUGUAAAACUCUGUCAGUAGGGACAAAUUCUGAUGGUACCUACAGAGGAAGCAUCGGCUAACUACGUGCCAGCAGCCGC